CUUUCUGCUUUUACUACCUUUUCUCCUAAUAAUAGAUUUUAGUGGCUGUGCUUAUGGGAUAGAUUAAAAUUGUCAUGAUCUGAAGAGAGAGGGGUUUUGUUUGUUUGUUUGUUUGAUUUUUGGUAUCCUUCUAUAUGAAAUGGCUGGACAGAAAUUU
ensembl:snoRNA